rnacentral:rRNA from 1 species
CAGUUCGGAUCGGAGUCUGCAACCCGACUCCGUGAAGCUGGAUUCGCUAGUAAUCGCGCAUCAGCCAUGGCGCGGUGAAUACGUUCCCGGGCCUUGUACACACCGCCCGUCAAGCCAUGGGAGCCGGGGGUGCUUGAAGUGCGUCGCCGCGAGGCGCGCCCUAGAGCAAAACCGGUGACUGGGGCUAAGUCGUAACAAGGUAAC